CUUUACCUGGGUGGGUUUAUAGAAACUCUUUGUAACAACUGAGGAUUGUCUGAGGCAUUGCAAUCUCUUGUCUUCCUGAACCUCCUAAGCCAUGUCUAUAUAUGAGAGAGCAAAAGUUUUAUUUUUAAGAGACAGGGUCUUGCUCUGUGGCCCAGGCUGGGGUGCAGUGGUGCGAUCAUAGGUCACUACAGCUUGAAACUCUUGGUCUCAAGAGAUCGUUCUCCCUUAGCCUCCGGAAUAGGUAGGACUACAAGUACGUGCCGCCAUGCCUAGCUAAUUUUAGUAGAGAUGGAGUCUCACUGUGUUGCUCAGGCUGGUCUUGAACUCCAGGCCUCAAACAAUUCUCCUGUCCUUGUCUUCCCGAAGUGCUGAAAUAAAAGGCAUGUGCCACUGCACGUGGCAGUUUUUCUUUUUGACUUAAUCUGGUUUUGCAGCAGUUUUGAGAGACAUUGAGUUUGUGAAUUAGCAUUUAAAGGCUUUAAUAUUCCUACUAGAGUUUUGUUUACUGAGUGAUUUAAGAAACAAUGUGUAUUAUUGAUAGAAUCUUAAAGUGAUUUGGAGGUGAAAUGCGUCGUGGUUUGUAGUGACUUUGAAACACUAUUCAGUAGGUUCACAUGGUUUAACAGGCAUCAUUAUGGCUUUUGUGUGUUUUGGUGUGUGUGACUGUGAAGCCUCAGGAAUUUAGUUUAAGCUUCUGAAAAGCCCACCAAUAAGGAUUUAGAAUUCUCUUGUCCCACAUCUUAGUCAUCUCAACGUUUCUCAUUUCUAACUUUAAAACAUGUCAAUUUAAAAAAUUCAGUAUAUCAUUAAUUUCAUCUAAAUCUCUCAUAAAUCUCUGAUAAAAUUUUGUUUUUAAACAAUAACCAAUAAUUUGGUUUUAUUUAUGUGAUGAGAAUAACAACUGGUAUUUAUUGUCUAUACUUAUGCAAUUUUAUAGAUGGAGUUUUAACAUUGAAUGCGGAGAACACUAAUUAUGCCUAUCAAGUUCCAAACUUCCAUAAAUGUGAAAUCUGUCUACUAUCUUUUCCAAAAGAAUCCCAGUUUCAACGCCACAUGAGGGAUCACGAGCGAAAUGACAAGCCACAUCGAUGUGACCAGUGCCCCCAAACAUUUAAUGUUGAAUUCAACCUGACACUUCAUAAAUGCACUCACAGCGGGGAAGAUCCUACCUGCCCUGUGUGUAACAAGAAAUUCUCCAGAGUGGCUAGUCUCAAAGCGCAUAUUAUGCUACAUGAAAAGGAAGAGAAUCUCAUCUGUUCUGAGUGUGGGGAUGAGUUUACUCUGCAGAGUCAGCUGGCCGUGCACAUGGAGGAGCACCGCCAGGAGAUGGCUGGAACCCGGCAGCAUGCCUGCAAGGCCUGCAAGAAAGAAUUCGAGACCUCCUCAGAGCUGAAGGAACACAUGAAGACUCAUUACAAAAUUAGGGUAUCAAGUACAAGGUCUUAUAACCGGAAUAUCGACAGAAGUGGAUUCACAUAUUCAUGUCCGCACUGUGGAAAGACGUUUCAAAAGCCAAGCCAGUUAACGCGACACAUUAGGAUACACACAGGUGAAAGGCCGUUUAAAUGUAGUGAAUGUGGAAAAGCUUUUAACCAGAAGGGGGCACUGCAGACCCACAUGAUCAAGCACACAGGUGAAAAGCCCCACGCCUGUGCCUUCUGUCCUGCUGCCUUCUCUCAGAAAGGGAAUCUUCAUUCGCACGUGCAGCGAGUCCACUCAGAGGUCAAGAGUGGUCCUACCUAUAACUGUAGAGAAUGUAGUUGUGUAUUUAAGAGUUUAGGCAGCUUAAACACGCAUAUCAGCAAGAUGCAUAUGGGUGGGCCACAGAAUUCCACAAGUUCCACAGAGACUGCUCAUGUUUUAACGGCCACACUCUUUCAGACGUUACCUCUUCAACAGACAGAAGCCCAAGCCACGUCAGCCUCAAGCCAGCCAAGCUCCCAGGCAGUGAGCGACGUCAUCCAGCAGCUCCUGGAGCUCUCAGAGCCGGGGCCGGUGGAGUCAGGGCAGUCCCCGCAGCCUGGGCAGCAGCUGAGCAUCACAGUGGGCAUCAGCCAGGACAUUUUACAGCAAGCCUUAGAAAACAGUGGGCUGUCUUCAAUUCCAGUUGCAGCACAUCCUAAUGACUCCAGCCAUGCCAAGACCUCUGCACCACAGGUUCAAAACCCAGAUGUUUCCAGCGUUUCAAAUGAGCAGAUGGACCCUACAGACGCAGAGCAAGAAAAAGAACAGGAAAGCCCGGAGAAACUGGAUAAAAAAGAAAAAAAAAUGAUAAAGAAGAAAUCACCAUUUCUACCUGGCUCCAUCCGUGAGGAGAACGGCGUGCGCUGGCACGUGUGUCCCUACUGCACCAAGGAGUUCCGCAAGCCCAGCGACCUGGUGCGCCACAUCCGCAUCCACACCCACGAGAAGCCCUUCAAGUGCCCACAGUGCUUCCGCGCCUUCGCGGUGAAGAGCACGCUGACAGCCCACAUUAAGACGCACACCGGCAUCAAGGCGUUCAAGUGCCAGUACUGCAUGAAGAGCUUCUCCACCUCGGGCAGCCUCAAGGUGCACAUCCGCCUGCACACAGGAGUUAGACCUUUUGCUUGUCCUCACUGUGACAAAAAAUUUCGAACCUCGGGCCAUAGGAAGACUCACAUUGCUUCCCACUUUAAACAUACGGAAUUAAGGAAAAUGAGGCACCAGCGUAAACCUGCAAAGGUUCGUGUUGGCAAGACGAACGUUCCAGUCCCUGAUAUUCCUUUGCAGGAACCAAUUCUCAUAACUGACUUAGGUCUUAUCCAGCCCAUUCCAAAAAACCAGUUUUUCCAAAGCUAUUUUAAUAAUAAUUUUGUUAAUGAAGCAGAUAGACCAUACAAGUGUUUUUACUGUCAUCGUGCAUAUAAAAAAUCUUGCCACCUUAAACAACACAUCAGAUCCCAUACAGGUGAAAAACCUUUUAAAUGUUCUCAGUGUGGAAGAGGCUUUGUUUCUGCAGGUGUGCUCAAAGCACACAUCCGAACACACACAGGACUGAAAUCUUUCAAGUGUCUGAUAUGUAAUGGGGCUUUCACUACUGGUGGCAGCUUACGGCGACACAUGGGCAUCCACAACGACCUUCGUCCCUAUAUGUGUCCCUAUUGUCAAAAAACAUUUAAGACUUCACUAAAUUGCAAAAAGCACAUGAAAACCCACAGAUACGAACUUGCCCAGCAGCUCCAACAGCAUCAGCAGGCAGCCUCGAUAGACGAUAGCACGGUGGACCAGCAGAGCAUGCAGGCCUCCACUCAGAUGCAGGUGGAGAUCGAGAGCAACGAGCUGCCGCAGACGGCAGAGGUGGUCGCAGCAAACCCCGAGGCCAUGCUGGACCUGGAGCCUCAGCACGUGGUGGGCACAGAGGAAGCAGGGCUGGACCAGCAGUUGACAGAUCAGCCCUUGGAAGCAGAUGAAGAUGGGUUUGUGGCUCCACAGGACCCUCUGCAAGGGCACAUAGACCAGUUUGAAGAGCAGACCCCUGCCCAACAGUCCUUUGAACCGGCAGGGCUACCCCAAGGUUUUACAGUGACUGACACGUACCAUCAGCAGCCUCAGUUUCCACCUGUCCAACAGCUACAGGAUUCCAGCACACUUGAGUCUCAGGCCCUCUCCACAAGCUUUCACCAGCAGAGCUUGCUGCAGGCUCCCAGCUCUGAUGGGAUGAAUGUAACAACUCGCUUGAUUCAGGAGUCAUCCCAAGAGGAACUGGACCUGCAGGCACAAGGUUCCCAGUUUCUGGAGGACAGCGAGGACCAGAGCAGGCGCUCUUACAGGUGUGACUAUUGCAACAAAGGCUUUAAGAAGUCCAGUCACCUAAAGCAGCACGUGCGGUCGCACACCGGGGAGAAGCCCUACAAGUGCAAACUCUGUGGACGUGGCUUUGUUUCCUCCGGGGUGCUCAAGUCUCACGAGAAGACACACACAGGAGUGAAGGCGUUCAGCUGCAGCGUGUGCAACGCUUCCUUCACUACCAAUGGCAGCCUCACCCGGCACAUGGCCACACAUAUGAGCAUGAAGCCUUAUAAGUGUCCGUUUUGUGAAGAGGGUUUCCGAACUACAGUGCAUUGUAAAAAGCACAUGAAGAGACACCAAGCAGUCCCCUCUGCUGUGUCAGCCACUGGAGAGACAGAAGGAGGAGACAUUUGUAUGGAGGAGGAGGAAGAACAUUCUGACAGAAAUGCAUCACGGAAGUCUCGUCCUGAGGUCAUCACUUUCACAGAGGAGGAGACAGCCCAGUUAGCCAAGAUCCGGCCUCAGGAGAGUGCCACGGUGUCAGAGAAGGUCCUGGUGCAGUCCGCGGCAGAAAAGGACCGCAUCAGCGAGCUGAGGGACAAGCAGGCGGAGCUGCAGGACGAGCCCAAGCAUGCCAACUGCUGCACAUACUGCCCCAAGAGCUUCAAGAAGCCCAGCGACCUGGUGAGGCAUGUUCGAAUCCAUACUGGAGAAAAGCCAUACAAAUGUGAUGAAUGUGGAAAGAGUUUUACUGUGAAAUCCACUCUCGAUUGCCAUGUGAAGACUCACACAGGUCAGAAGCUCUUCAGCUGUCACGUCUGCAGCAACGCCUUCUCCACGAAGGGAAGUCUGAAGGUCCACAUGCGUCUGCACACGGGAGCCAAACCCUUCAAAUGCCCGCACUGCGAGCUGCGUUUCCGUACCUCGGGUAGAAGGAAGACACACAUGCAGUUUCAUUAUAAACCAGACCCAAAGAAGGCCAGAAAGCCUGUGACUCGAAGCUCGUCGGAAGAAUUGCAGCCCGUAAACCUCCUCAACUCCUCCUCUACUGACUCUAAUGUGUUUAUCAUGAACAACUCUGUUGUAACAGGACAGCUUGAUCAGAAUCUGCUGCAACCAGGACUGGUGGGCCAAGCUAUUCUCCCUGCCUCCGUGUCAGCUGGGGGUGACCUGACUGUGUCUCUGACAGAUGGGAGCCUGGCUACCCUAGAAGGCAUCCAGUUACAGUUGGCCGCUAACUUGGUUGGACCAAAUGUACAGAUUUCUGGAAUCGAUGCUGCCAGCAUUAAUAACAUUACGUUGCAGAUUGAUCCGAGCAUUCUGCAGCAGACGCUACAGCAGGGCAACCUGUUGGCUCAGCAGCUCACAGGGGAGCCUGGCCUGGCCUCACAGAAUGGCUCUCUCCAGACGUCGGACAGCACAGUCCCUGCCAGUGUUGUCAUCCAGCCCAUCUCAGGCCUGUCCUUACAGCCCACAGUGACCUCUGCAAACCUGACCAUAGGCCCACUGUCUGAGCAGGAUUCAGUGCUGACCACUAAUAGCAGUGGGACCCAAGACCUCACUCAAGUGAUGACUUCGCAAGAUCUGGUGUCCCCCUCCGGCGGUCCCCACGAGAUCACCUUGACCAUCAACAACUCCAGCCUGAGCCAGGUCCUAGCACAGGCCGCUGGGCCCACUGCCACAUCUUCCUCGGAGUCUCCACAGGAAAUUACCCUGACUAUCUCCGAACUUAACACUACAAGCGGAAGCCUUCCUUCAACAACACCGAUGUCUCCAUCGGCCAUCUCGACUCAGAACCUGGUCAUGUCCUCGUCGGGUGUGGGAGGUGACGCUAGUGUCACGCUGACGCUGGCCGAUACUCAGGGUAUGCUGUCUGGAGGCCUGGACACUGUCACACUCAACAUCACCUCUCAGGGUCAGCAGUUCCCAGCACUCCUCACGGAUCCCUGCCUCUCGGGCCAGGGUGGAGCAGGCUCGCCGCAAGUCAUACUAGUGAGCCACACGCCACAGUCAGCGUCUGCUGCUGGUGAAGAAAUAGCCUACGAGGUAGCUGGUGUCUCUGGGAACCUGGCCCCGGGCAGCCAGCCCGAGAAGGAGAGCCAGGCACACCAGUGCCUGGAGUGUGACCGCGCCUUCUCGUCGGCGGCAGUGCUGAUGCACCACAGCAAGGAGGUGCACGGCCGGGAGCGCAUCCACGGCUGCCCCGUGUGCAGGAAGGCCUUCAAGCGCGCCACGCACCUCAAGGAGCACAUGCAGACACACCAGGCCGGCCCCUCUUUGAGCUCCCAGAAGCCAAGAGUGUUUAAAUGUGACACUUGUGAGAAGGCGUUUGCCAAACCAAGCCAGCUGGAGCGCCACAGCCGCAUCCACACAGGGGAGCGGCCAUUCCAUUGCACGCUUUGUGAGAAAGCCUUCAACCAGAAGAGCGCGCUGCAGGUGCACAUGAAGAAGCACACAGGGGAGCGGCCCUACAAGUGUGCCUACUGCGUCAUGGGCUUCACGCAGAAGAGCAACAUGAAGCUGCACAUGAAGCGGGCGCACAGCUAUGCUGGAGCUCUGCAGGAGUCCUCAGGUCACCCAGAGCAGGACGGGGAGGAGCUGAGCCAGACCCUCCACCUGGAGGAGGUGGUGCAGGAGGCCGCGGAGACUCAUAGGAAAAAAACUGGGAAAAGUGUCACCGCGUUGUUCUCUUUUGUCUACAAAUCACUGAACUCAGGUACUACGGUGGGCAGUUUCCUCCUUGUCUCCUCCGUGGCUAGUGCGUCUAGUUCACAAAGCAAUUAACUGGGUCUUACUAUCAUUGUAGUGUGAUUUCUUUGUAUUAGCAAAGACGAAAAAGCUAACAUGGAAAAAGUACGUCAGAUUUUCCUUCAUGCUUCCGGUUAUAAGAAGCAUAGCUUGAAAGCAAGUUUAAGAUUGGGGCAUGAAGUUCCGAAAAAAAAUGUUACAACACACAGGGAAGUUUUUUCCACUCUUUUCUCUGUGCAUUUUGAAAAUUAGUCAAAAUGGACUCUUUUUAGUCUACCGUAAGUUAAUAUACCUGAUACCUUGAGAGAUGGCUGGACCAAUUCUCUCUCCAUGACAAAUGUUUAAUCAUUAGUUACAAGAAUGCAGUGUCUGGGGGGCAUCAACACGGGGACUCAAGUAAACCUGACCCACCAAUAAGGAUUCAGCUGUCCACACGGGCUGGUGACACACUUACCGCAUCAUUCUGUGUUCAGGUCCAGGGUUAGAUAAUUGCAGAAGCACAAGCCAUACAUCGCAGGUAGGAAACCACAGAACCGUCUGCCAGGAGCAAGCAACCGUGGCCCUGUGUACCCCAGCAAAUAAGAAGUAUAUCUGUAGCUUAAGGCCAAGAAUCCGUAAAAACCCCAUGACUUUCUCUUCGUGCAUAAGCAGAUGUAUUUUUGAUUUCAGGGAAUUCUUUAGUAUCGUCAAUGGUGCCACAUUAAACAUGUCCCAAACCAAAUCCACCCGCGCUGGUCAGAGUGCGUGCACGCCAUUCCUACAGCAUUCCAAAGACGGAAGGUUCUCUACUUCAUGUUCAUUUGUCCUUUGAAAUUAUUUAUAUGUUCUAUAUAUAAAUACAUAUGUACAUAGACAGAUAUAUGGGCCUCUGUGUGGCUGAACAGUAUAUUUUGUAAAUAUAAGUACUAGUCCUAAUUGCAGAAAGAGCGUCUGAGUUUCACCUCCCCACAAGCACUUCAGAUCAGUAUUGUAUUCAUUUUAUUAAUAAAUGGAUAUCUUUUUCAUUGUAAUAUAAAGCUGGGUUUUAUUUUUUUUCCUGAAAAAUAAUUGCCUUUAUUUUCUCUCAUUGCCUCCUUGGUUUCAGAAGAGAGUAGUUUCAUUAUAAAUAUUGUAUGGACUUUGUAUAUUAAGAGAGGAGCUCAUUUCAGAUUCCUAAAGAAAUAGACAUUUUACUGUUAUUUUGAAAGGGCAUCUUUUGAUUUUGUUGUUGUUCACUUUUGGCGUAUGUAUAUAAGUAAUACUGAUGGUGAUAUGAAAACUUUUGUUAUGUGAAAAUAUUUAAGUCAGAAAAUUGUUAAAUAAUAUUACUUCUUUUCCAAACUGCUUUGUGUAUUGUAUAUUUUUUUAAGAAAAAGAAAAGCCUUAUUUGACUUAUUCUUGUGAUACUGGACUUCUUACCAAUCCCGAGGUUUCCUUCCUUGAAUGUCAGUGUGUAAACCUGACGCAUAUUUAGAAUAAUUGUAAUUGUGCUAGAGUUUUAAAGGUUCUGCUUUUAAUGCACUUUUUAUUUUAUAAUUUUGUAUUGAAAUAUUUUAGAAAUGUUGAUUAAUUUUGGUGAACGAAUAUCCCCAAAGUUGAAAUUAUUGGAAUUUUAAACUUUUGUUCUUGCUCGGUUAUUUAUUUUGAUUUUAGCAUUAAAUGUCAUCUCAGGACAUCUUUAAAAGGGGUUAAUUCCUAAUUGUAUAGAAAGCUAGUUUGGUGAAUUGUAUUGGUUAAUUGACUAUUUAAGGCCUUAACAGGUGAAUCUAGAGCCUACUUUUAUUUUGGUUAAAGAAAAAGAAAAUAUCAAUAAUUCAAUUUUGUGUCUUUUCUCAAUUUAUUAGCAGUCAAACACAAGACAUUUUAUGUAUUAUUUUGAUUUACUUCCUAAUUAUAAAAAGCUGCUUUUUUGCAGAACAUUCCUUGAAAAUACAAGAUUUUGAAAAGACAUCAUUUUACUUGAAUCUUUGUGGGGUACAGGUUGAUCUUUAUAUUUUACUUGUUGUUUUAAAAAUUCUAGAAAAGAGAUUUCUAGCCUCAUGUAUAACCAGGGUUUUGAGAAUAAAGACUGUAUUUUUAGAACUAUCUCAUCAUAGCAUAUCUGCUUUGGAAUAAUUAUAAAUAAAAGAUGAAGUUAGGAAAUGUGAUUUUUUUCGUUUGAAAAUAAGAUUAAAUAGUUUGGCAUGUAAAUUAAUUUCAAGUUCAGAUUUUUAAGAGAAAACUUUAGUGGUAUUUUCCUCUACCUCUGUGAAGUUCAGAGGCGUCUACUCCUGCAGUGUCCACUGGAGAGGCUUCAGACUUUAAAAAUCAGGGCAUGGCUCUGCGACCGCCAGUCGUGGGCGUCAGCACAGUGCCCCGUGCAUGUGCCAGAACUGUUCCUGUUCCCUUUCAUUUCCUGCUGUAUUCAACAGCACCCAGUCAUGGAGGAACCUUUUGAGAGUUCCUAAGUGUUUUGAUCCCGCUUGUGUGCUCCAGUAACCAUGGAGCACUGGAGCUGAAAGAAUGAACUGCCUGUGCAAAGAUACCGAACGUGAAGCUGGGGUGCAGGUACCGAGGAAGCAGGAGGCAGGUAGCUGGUAUGGAGUCCCACCUGCUAGAUAAUGCCCGAGCGGCUGCGUUUCCGUAGAACGGCAAUAGAUGAAAAUGAGGAAAUGUUUUCAAACAUGCAGAUUCAAAUGCUGCCCUACCCCAGCAAGCUCUGCUUUUGCCCCUUUUAAAAACUUGAGGCGCUUAGAAAGUAUCUAAAUAGAAGACAUCCUACGACAUGACAUCUGCCGGCUUGCAGCCAGGCCAGCGGGAGGCUCCUCGAACGCUGCUCUCCUCUCCCUGACAGGGUUCUGCUGGUGGGACAUGAAACCUCUGUGCUUGUCCGGCACUUAACUAGGGGAUGUUUCUUUCAUGCAUAUUUUCCACUCCCCCAUUGUAAUGUUUUAAGGAAACUUGAAUUUUGAAAUUAUAGCUAGUGUUCUGUGUCUUCCUUUGAACUCUUAUAUCACAUUUAUUACAAGAGACGCAUGUGUUAGCACAGGUACAAGAUUUUUCAAAGUAGAAGUGGAUUUCUGUUCUUGCUGUGGGUUUUCCUCAUUUUAGAAGAAUAUUUGUAACUCGUUAAGAUACACGUUUUAACAUGAAAUGACCAUCACACAGAUUUAUGUUUGGAAAUAUUCAAGAUAAAAUAGUUUGGCAUGUAAAUCAAUUUCAAGAUUUAUGUGCAUAAGAUUUUUUAAGGAAAUAGAUAAGAUAUAUAGAACUCCUUUUACUGUAUAUUAAGGCUAUCUCAUUCCUACUUCUUACAUUUUUUUCUGAAGCUUAUUUCAAAAUUAAUACCGUGCCCUUCCCUCACUAAAAAAAGUUAAUCCAAGGGUUGAUCAUUGCGAAUUUAUCCCUUUUCCAAGACCUACUGCACAGGAAGUAAGUGAGGCGGGGAUGAGAUCAUGCAAUGGAUCCUUCUGACGGAAGAGUUCUCUUUGUGUCACCUAAUCUGUGUUCACGUAACUUAGGCACUUUGGAUUUUUUAGAAUACAAUUUCAAAAGGCCUGUACCCAUAACCCAAUUUAAUGUUGUGUCUCUCCUUGGGGCCUCCACGUCUUUCCCGUAUGCUGAUGAAAGACCAUAUGCCAAAGGCCACUGAGCAUCGUCAUUGUGGAGAAAGUGGGAACCACAGAGCUUUCCAGGGUCGGACGCCCACACAUUCCUAGCAGAGACGCGUUCUUCGUCAUGGUGUGGCUCGCCAGCGACACGGCCUGUGUGGUGGCUGGCCCUCUCCGAACGGAUUCCCCUCCUCAGACCCCCAUGCACGGAUGAGCACACACUCGCCCUCCCUCCACAGAGGCAUCGUGGCAGUUCUUUCUAUGGAUGACUAACAACUCAGGUACUAAAAACUGAAGAUCGGUAUGAGUGGCAGGAGCAAUAGGCAGUCAGAAGAGAUUUUUCUAUUUAAUCUUUUACGUGUAACACUUUUUACAGCAUGAAGACUUUUGUAUUCAAUCAAGAUUUGUAUCAUAAUUGACAAAUUCUAAAGUGACAGGGAUUCGUUCUUGAUUCACCACUAAAGAAAAUUUUAACGUUAAUUUUCUUAUUUACAGAAGAAUUCUCUUUUUAUCUUCACAAUUGUUUCAUGAUCUGUUUAUACAUUGGAUGAUAUUUAUUUAAUCCAGUUUUGUAUUAGAAAUGGAUAGUGAUGCCAAAAGCCACUGUGCUGGCUUUAAAAAUAAUAAAAAUAGCUUUUGUAUUAUUUUAAAACUCCUGUAUAUUUUACUUCUUUGAGUUUUGCGUGAGUUAUCACUGUUGAAAGGUGGACGCUUCCUCUAGGUCACGUUUGCCAUGGCUUAACACAAUAGAGCAAUGCUGAAUUGGCAACAUAUUCAAGCCCAGGGCAUUUAAAUCCUGGAGGAUGUCCCAGGUUCCUGCUCUCUGCUUUCUCUCUUGUUUGAAAGCUAUUAAAGAGUGACUUGACAUGCAGUGCACAUCCGUCAUAAUAUCAGUGUCUGUUCAUGAGAGGUGCCAGAUUCUGGACUUCCCAGAAGCACCCAUGGAGUUAUUGUAUAUCAUCGGGCUCUUUGUAAAGAUAUAUUCAUCUAGUUUACUAUGCCUUACAUUUCCAAACUGUUAGAGAAGUUUGUAAUUGAGAGUCAUCAUCCUGGUGAAACAACAAAUUACAAUAUAUGUUUUCUUGGAUCACCUUAUUCCUGGCACUGAGUAAGGACUCCAGAUAUUUUUGGACUGAAAAAAUUGAAGUGAUGUUGACUUCCUGAAUGUGGCUAAGAUGGAAUGGUGAAUGUUACCCAGAGGCUGGACUCCCUGUGAUAGCGAAUAGAGUGCUGUCCCUUAAGCACAGGCAGAGGCUUGUACCUGCAAGUGUGCUGUGUGCUCCCCGCGCUGCGAGGCAGGCGUGCGUGCAGGCGUCCACUGGCCCACUUUGCAUCACGCUUCAGGACUGGGGCCUCAGAUGUUCAAACAAAUGCUGACCUUCUUGCUACUGCCGUUACUUUCCACAGACCCUCAUGACGCCUCCAGCCUCUACUGACCGUGGUCCUGGCAACCUGUGCAGGCCAUGGGGAAGGUCCUGACAGCCUGCGCGGAUGGUGGAAGGGCGUCUGCGUCCACGAGGCUGGGGCUCCGGCAGCCCCUUCUCUUGGCUCCCAGCCUGAGAAAAAGGUGGCAAGGGGAAAUCGUCCAAGACUCCCGGGAUCCAUCUGCAGGGUGUGUACACUAGCAACACAGCAGAACACAGAGAGACUUGGAAGCUUGUCUUCAGAGACACUAAGUAUAUUUUUCCUGGUGAGAGAAUCAGUGCCCUACAACUACCUCUGUUCCACUUUCUUCAGUAGCCAUAGACCCCCCCCUGAAGAGGACACCCCCUCCAACAGGCACCGCCAGGCAGCCCUGCCUCGAGACCCAGAGGCACCGAGUCACAUCAGCUCUGCAGCUCUGCAGACCUGGCUCUCGCUUGAUGUAGGCCUGUAUGCUCCAGCCCAGAACACAAAAGAAGACAUCCAUGCAAAUACCAUUAAAAGUUUAUUGUUUUAUUUCAAUAUUCAGGAACAGUGUACACUUUCCAUUCAGCCAUCGUCACAGCACGUGCUGUUUGGUGCGGCCACGUAUGGAUGGCAGAGCCGACCUCAGCUCAGCCACACAGAGUGUUUCUGCUGAAAAAUUUGGGGGUUUGUGUCUGGAGUUUUGUUCUUUGUAACCCUCUCAUCUUCGAGGCUAUAUAUUAAUAGACAUGAUAUUAAGCCCACAUGAAACAUUCAGAAUUAGAGUGGGAUUAAGAAGACGCGUUUUGGCAUCACGCUGACUACUUCUCGUCUUCAUCCUCGGGGAGGGUGAUGCCAGCGUGGGGCUCUUUGGAAGGCCUAUCACGGGUGCGCUAAAAUCAAAAGGUGGGUCAGUAGGUUAGGGAGGGAGGAGCAAAAGGAGAUGUCAGCAGGUGUUAGGAAGGAUGUGGUCAGAAGAGCUCUUCUCUGUCUCCACAGGGCCGUCUGCUCAGCCCGUGUGUCUCGGUGAGUAAUUCGGGAGCAGGUGCACGCCUGUGCCUACUCGCUACGACGCGUCUUCUGGGAGGAGAUGGAUGAGCCGGUUAUCUUCUCAGGGAGGGUUAGUGCUGGCCACUGUGCACUGCCGCUGCCUGCACGCCCCGUCGCCGUCACAGCCAGUGUCUAAGGGUGACUGGCGCGGCUGCGAGGCUGUCCAGAGGACUCCUACCCUUGUGCUCUGAGUGCGCAAGUCUUCCUGGACUCUCCAGCUGUGGGCUCUGGUUUGGAAACGAGGUUGUUCAUAGAGGCUGCUCUGGGGCCACCAUGCAAGGCAGCAGUGACGUCCAGAGGCCACCUGCUUGACAUCUCCAUCACCAAAUCUCCAGGAAGACCCUGUCUCCUGUGUGAGGCCAUUGCCCAGCCCACAUUUGCCUCCUUUUCCUCCCUCUGCCACACGCGAAUUCAGCUAAUUGGGGUGUGUGGGCAGCCACGACCUGGGGGCAUGCCCCGCUCUCUGUGCUGCCCCACGUUGGACUCUAACAGCUGCCCAGCCCGCAUGUCACAUACCAAAAGCUCCCACAUGUAGUAAGCCACUCCUUGACUGUCUAAUCCUGUUAGGAAAAAUGAAGUCUACUUUAGGAGGUGAGAGAAGGACAG